rnacentral:rRNA from 1 species
CAAUAGCGUAUAUUAAAGUUGUUGCAGUUAAAAAGCUCGUAGUUGGACUUCUGCGGGUGGCGGCCGGUCGUGCUCGAAACGGGCGUGAACUUGGCGUGCUGCCCGCAUCUUUGGGGAGAUUGUGCGUGGCAUUAAGUUGUCGUGCAUGGGAUUCUCAUCAUUUACUGUGAAAAAAUUAGAGUGUUUAAAGCAGGCCUUUGCCUUGAAUACAUUAGCAUGGAAUAAUAAGAUAGGACCGUUGUCUAUUUUGUUGGUUUACAGAUGUCGGUAAUGAUUAAUAGGGAUAGUUGGGGGUAUUCGUAUUCAGUUGUCAGAGGUGAAAUUCUUGGAUUUUCGGAAGACGCACGACCGCGAAAGCAUUUACCAAGGAUGUUUNCAUUAA